rnacentral:lncRNA from 1 species
CGCACGACCGCAUGUGAGCGAAAACAACUUUUCUGUAGCCCAUCACCCUUCCCACCCUCGGUGUUGGAUAAUGCUCCGAUGGAGAAAUAUUCCUUUUCUGAAUCUGUGCAGAUCCCUAGAAUACCCCAUACCCAGAAAGGACCAGUGCUUUCCCGGUGGACUGGAGCCUCCGAAGGAUGAAACUCAAGUCCACGAAGCAGAAACUAGCUCUCUAUCCUUGUGCUGCUGUCCCAGGCACAGCGCCUUGAGCCAAGGUUCUCUGCAGUGCGGACUCAAGAAAAGGAAGCGAGGGAACGCGGAAAAGCGUUCAGAACCCCAGAGAUUUUCCUUACUCCUGCACCACCCCACCUACUGCAAGCCCGGAAGAAUAACUAAGAAGAAGGAGCAGGAAGAGGAAGAGGAGGAAAAGGAGGAGAGAAGGAAGAAGAGGAAAUGAAAAGGGAGGAGAAGGAAGAAGAAGAAGAAGAUGAUGAUAAUGAAAGAGGGGAAAAGAGAGGAGGAGGAGAAAGAUUUGGGGCUGGACCUAUACAUUCAUUUGUAUAGAUUCUGAGAAACUGUCCUGGAGGUAUUUGUUUCUAUUCCAUGCUCUUUGUCCUUCUCUGUGUCAAGUCCUAGAGAUGAUCCACCAGAGACCAGGAAUUUAAGCCAUGAUGACCUUGAACCUAUGAUUGCAGACAGGAUGGUACAGGCUGCCAGGCUGGCAUGGAAGCCCCCAAAAGCCAGAGUAAUCGUUACUCAGACCUGAAGUAGACUUGGGCUUAUGCUGUGCUCUGCAGGAACUGAGCUAAAUUAUGGACAUAAUCUUCUUCAACUCCUUAGAAGAUGGCAAAAGGGGGAGAAGGGAAAUGAUGUAUUCCCUGCGUUGGGG